AUCCCAGAAAGAAAUUGUGCAGCUUGUUGUUUGUUUGUUUUUCUACCACUGGUAUAAUUUUGAGAUUUUUUUAUAGGCUAUUGUCUGCUGUUACUGGUUUUUAUCCAAGUGCACAACAGAUCAAAAACAGUGGGAACUGGGGGAAACAACUUGAAAGCUAAUCCUGUGUGCGUUAUCUGCAAAGCUUUUUUAAUUUACACUCCAGGUUUCUUUAGCACAUGAAUCAGUCACAUUCCGUACCCAGGCCAUUUUUAUAAAUGGCUUAUUGUUUUUAAUGAUCAUAUUUCAAAAACGGAUGGCACUUAGAGUCUGACAUGGCACAGAGUGCUACUUAAAUAACCAUCAUGUGGCUUAUGUCUUGGACUGAGGAGGAAAGAACCAUCUUUCAUCAAAAUGUUUUCUUUUUCUGUUAUUUCAAAGCAAAACCAUCACAAUGUUAUGGAUUUUACAAUUUCAAUCUUCCUGAAUGACAAUGACAGAUCAUCUUCAUUUUGAUGACAUGGCACUGUGCAGCUACCUUAGUGAACACUGAAAUGACGUUGAUUCGUUACUUCAAAUCAAAGCGCUACAUUAUCAUUUCUGUUGCAAAGAACUUACUGGUUUUUUUGCAUACUUCUGUUGCACUGCUGAAGGAUGUUUCAUGCCUUUACCAUGGCAAGAUUAGCAGGUCAUGGAAGAGAAGUCUUGAUUGUCAACGCUCAAGAGUGGCCUGGAGCAGAGACAGUGGUGCUGUUCUUGAGAAGGCUUCCUGGGGCAUAGCAGUCCACAGCACACCCAAUGAGACACAGUACUGGGAUGGAAAUUCCAGUCUGAGGAGGGUGUGAGUCAUGAGUUGCUGCCUCAUGGGACAGGGCACUUACCCUGCCUCUGAGAGAUGCUGAAGUUUAGCCAGGUGAGAAUGCUCCUUGUCUUGCAAACACUGUGAAGCAUGUGUGUAUUUGUGUUUGCAGGAUCGGGGUUUAAGUUUGUGAGCAGAAUAUUUUUCUUCCUUCCAGAUCUUGUUACAAAUGGCUUAUGUAAUUCCACUAAAAUGAAACCAUCUUGAAUAAUCCUUUAUAUUUCUAUUUUCUCUUUCAGAGGCUGCCUGAGAAGCUAUUAAGGGCAUCUUUUUUUUAUAAUGUU